UGGCAAACGGGUGAGUAUAAUGUGGGAAUCUACCUUUUGGUUUGGAAUAACACGGGGAAACUUGUGCUAAUACCGAAUAAGCCCUUACGGGGAAAGUUUUAAUGCCGAAAGAUGAGCCCGCACUUGAUUAGCUAGUUGGUAAGGUAAAAGCUUACCAAGGCAACGAUCAAUAGCUGUUCUUAGAGGAAGACCAGCCACAUUGGGACUGAGACACGGCCCAGACUCCUACGGGAGGCAGCAGUGGGGAAUCUUGCACAAUGGGGGAAACCCUGAUGCAGCGAUGCCGCGUGAGUGAAGAAGGCCCUUGGGUUGUAAAACUCUUUCGUCGGGGAAGAAAAUGACUGUACCCGAAUAAGAAGGUCCGGCUAACUUCGUGCCAGCAGCCGCGGUAAUACGAAGGGACCUAGCGUAGUUCGGAAUUACUGGGCUUAAAGAGCUCGUAGGUGGUUAAAAAAGUUGAUGGUGAAAUCCCAAGGCUCAACCUUGGAACUGCCAUCAAAACUUUUUAGCUAGAGUGUGAUAGAGGUAAGUGGAAUUUCUAGUGUAGAGGUGAAAUUCGUAGAUAUUAGAAAGAACACCAAAAGCGAAGGCAACUUACUGGGUCACUACUGACACUGAGGAGCGAAAGCAUGGGUAGCGAAGAGGAUUAG
rnacentral:rRNA from 1 species